rnacentral:rRNA from 1 species
CAGCAGCCGCGGUAAUACGUAGGUGGCAAGCGUUGUCCGGAUUUAUUGGGCGUAAAGCGAGCGCAGGCGGUUUCUUAAGUCUGAUGUGAAAGCCCCCGGCUCAACCGGGGAGGGUCAUUGGAAACUGGGAAACUUGAGUGCAGAAGAGGAGAGUGGAAUUCCAUGUGUAGCGGUGAAAUGCGUAGAUAUAUGGAGGAACACCAGUGGCGAAGGCGGCUCUCUGGUCUGUAACUGACGCUGAGGCUCGAAAGCGUGGGGAGCGAACAGGAUUAGAUACCCCAGUAGUCCCUGUCUCUUAUAA